rnacentral:tRNA from 1 species
GAGGGCAUAGCUCAGUGGUAGAGCACAUGCUUAGCAUGCAUGAGGUCCUGGAUUCAUCCCCAGUACCUCUG